rnacentral:rRNA from 1 species
AUUGAACGCUGGCGGCAUGCCUUACACAUGCAAGUCGAACGGUAACGGGCCUUCGGGUGCCGACGAGUGGCGAACGGGUGAGUAAUACAUCGGAACGUGCCCGAUCGUGGGGGAUAACGAGGCGAAAGCUUUGCUAAUACCGCAUACGAUCUACGGAUGAAAGCAGGGGACCGCAAGGCCUUGCGCGGACGGAGCGGCCGAUGGCAGAUUAGGUAGUUGGUGGGAUAAAAGCUUACCAAGCCGACGAUCUGUAGCUGGUCUGAGAGGAUGAUCAGCCACACUGGGACUGAGACACGGCCCAGACUCCUACGGGAGGCAGCAGUGGGGAAUUUUGGACAAUGGGCGCAAGCCUGAUCCAGCCAUGCCGCGUGCAGGAUGAAGGCCUUCGGGUUGUAAACUGCUUUUGUACGGAACGAAAAGCCUUCUUUUAAUACAGGAGGGUCAUGAUGGUACCGGAAGAAUAAGCACCGGCUAACUACGUG